rnacentral:rRNA from 1 species
CCUACGGGAGGCAGCAGUGAGGAAUAUUGGUCAAUGGCCGGGAGGCUGAACCAGCCAAGUCGCGUGAGGGAAGACGGCCCUACGGGUUGUAAACCUCUUUUGUCAGGGAGUAAGGUGCAGGUCGGGACCUGCUGUGAGAGUACCUGAAGAAAAAGCAUCGGCUAACUCCGUGCCAGCAGCCGCGGUAAUACGGAGGAUGCGAGCGUUAUCCGGAUGUAGUGGGUUUAAAGGGUGCGCAGGCGGAGGCACAAGUCAGCGGUAAAAGCGCUGGGCUCAACCCCGCUCCGCCGUUGAAACUGUGACCCUUGAGUGCGCGAAGGGUAGGCGGAAUGCGUGGUGUAGCGGUGAAAUGCAUAGAUAUCACGCAGAACUCCGAGCGCGAAGGCAGCCUACCGGCGCGCAACUGACGCUCAUGCACGAAAGCGUGGGUAUCGAACAGGAGUAGAUACCCGGGUAGUC